CCUGUGGUUCCCGAAAGUUCGAAUGGGGAGAUUCAAUUGCCUCGCCGGUUAUGACCAUUUAACAGUGAUAUUUGUAUGGAUAUAUUGAGACAUUAUAUACGGUAUUGCAGUUUAUUCUGUAUUAUCUGUUUUAUAGUGCUCCACUGUUUUAUGAUAUAUGGAAAAAGUUUAUAGCCGGAGGCGUGCACUUCUCCCCUUGUAGGACGUCGUGACCCAUUGGAUUAUCGUUGUCUAAGGCUCAUAAUGGAGACCGUGGCAUUUAUAGUUUUAUUACUAUUAUGACCCGGACUUAUGAUGUCCCGACAUCUAUCCGAUGGUAUAAUUAUGAUGAUGGGUCGCUAUUUCAAAAUGGUGAGCGUUCUGAUCCAUAACAAAUGCUUAUAUGGUAUAUUAAGUGGAAAUCGGAUUAUAUGCCGAUUCUACACGUAUGGCAUUGUUAGUUGUGGUAUUCUUGAACCGUUCCUUAACAUCAGUCAACGGCGUUUAUGUUUUGGGUAAUUACAGGACCCGUCUUGAAACACGGACCAAGGAGUCUAGCAUGUGCGCAAGUCAUUGGGACUUAAUGAAACCUAAAGGCGUAAUGAAAGUGAAGUAUUUAUGUGUGUGUGUAUAUAUUGUAUUACUUGUAAUUCAUAUAUAUAUACCAUAUGAGUUUAAGGGAAGAUGGGUAACGAUAUUUAUGUUACCUCGCAUUCCCGGGGCGUCGCGUACUUAUUGCAAGUUGCGGCGCACCAAGAGCGUACACGCUGGGACCCGAAAGAUGGUGAACUAUGCCUGGUCAGGAUGAAGUCAGGGGAAACCCUGAUGGAGGUCCGUAGCGAUUCUGACGUGCAAAUCGAUCGUAUG
rnacentral:rRNA from 1 species